CCUGUAAUGUGACAGCACUUGCAACAUCAGGUGAUGGUCUACCUGAGGUCGUCUACCUGUGAUGGUCUACCUGAGGUCGUCUACCUGUGAUGGUCUGCCUG